rnacentral:tRNA from 1 species
UUAGAAAGAUAGGAAUCGAACCUACACCUGAGAGAUCAAAACCCCCCGUAAU